GGGGAUUUAGCUCAAUGGCACAGCACCUGCCUUACAAGCACAAGGUACUGAGUUCAAUCCCCA
rnacentral:tRNA from 1 species